AGCAGUGUCAGUCUGCUGCAGGCCAUGGAGGAGAGCUAUGAGGUGGACCUGGUGUACAUCACCGAGAGGAUCAUCUCUGUCUCCUUCCCCAGCGGAGCGGAGGAGCGCAGCUACACCUCCAACAUCAAGGAGGUGGCCUCCAUGCUGGCCUCCAAACACGGGGAACACUAUCUGCUCCUCAACCUAAGUGAGCGGAGGAAUGACAUCACCAAGCUUAACCACAAGGUGCUGGAGUUUGGCUGGCCAGACCAUUAUGCUCCGGCCCUGGAUAAGAUCUGCAGCAUGUGCAAGGCCAUGGACACCUGGCUCAACGCUGACCAACACAAUGUAGUGGUGCUUCACAACAAGGGGAACCGUGGGAGGACUGGAGUGGUGGUGGCUGCCUACAUGCAUUACAGCAACAUAUCAGCCAGUGCUGACCAGGCACUGGACAGGUUCGCCAUGAGGCGCUUCUACGAAGACAAAGCACUUCCUGUGGGUCAACCGUCCCAGAGAAGGUAUGUACGUUACUUCAGUGGUCUGCUCUCUGGCCACAUCAAGAUUAACAACAAGCCUCUGUUCCUGCACCACGUCAUCAUGCACGGCAUCCCCAACUUCGAGUCCAAAGGAGGUGAGUCUGCAGCAGGAUAUAACGUCCAAGGGGACAGUCACACCAGUAUCUGCAUCACCAUUGAACCUGGCCUGCUCCUAAAGGGAGACAUUUUGUUGAAGUGUUACCACAAGCGUUUCCGGAGCCCCAUUAGGGAUGUGGUAUUCAGAGUGCAGUUCCACACCUGUGCCAUCCACGACCUGGGAGUAGUCUUCGGGAAGAAUGAACUGGAUCAGACUUUUAAAGAUGAGAGAUUUCCAGAAUAUGGGAAAGUGGAAUUUGUCUUCUCCUUCGGUCCUGAGAAAAUCAAAGGAAUGGGCCACCUUGAGAAUGGCCCACAAGUGUCGGUGGACUACAAUACCCAAGACCCCCUCAUCCGCUGGGACUCCUACGAGAACUUCAACAGGGGCUGCGAGGAUACAGGAGAUGACGUUGUUCACACCCAAGGCCCCCUCGACGGCAGCCUGUAUGCCCGAAUCCACAAGAAAGAGUCCCUCGAUGGAGUGGUCACAAUCAACGUGGGCCACGCCUCCCUGCCCGCGGUUGACCACGCCCUGUCGGUCAGCAGCGACUCUGGGAACUCGACAGCAUCCGUCAAAACCGAUCGCACCGAUGACCACAGUCUGUUGCUGCAUGGAGCGGUGAAUACCAACCAGAACCACAACACGCCCAGUCAUCCCCCUCUCAGUCCCCAGGAGAAGAGAGAGUUGGACCAGCUUCUGAGUGGCCUUGAGGCCCCCAUGCUCCACCGCCAGGCUUACCUGGCUACCUCCACCAGCCCCGGGGGGGGAGUUCGCCACCUUGUCCCAGCCCAGGUGCACGUCAGCGGGCAUACCCGGCUCAUUGCAGCCCCCUCCGCCGAAGAGCGCGAGACGGACAUCUUGGACGACGAGCUGCACAUCAGUCAGGAGGGUAACAGCGUGGACAGUCUGGGAACACUGUCGUCAUUGGAGGGCCAGGCCACGCCCGCAGAGCUGUACUACCAAUCACAGAUACCCAUCAACAGGCAGAACGACGGGCCAUACCUAGAGAAGCUACGGGAGAUGCCGGUGCACCGGGUACGGACUUCUACGUCGGCACAGGAGCGGAUCAUGGACUCCAGUUCGCCCCAGGAAGAGGAGUACUCUCCUAACAGUUACCAGAACGGGAGUAUGCAGCGUUCCCAGUCCUUCGGGACCCCCGAGCCUGGAGGCCCCAAGCUGCCCAGGGCCCCUGAGAGGAGCACCAGUAGCAGGGAGGCAGUCCAGAGGGGGCUGAACGCAUGGCACCAGUACAGUCUGCCAGACGACCCGUUCGGUCCUCCCUUACAGAGCACCCACAGUCUGCCCCACUUCCCCCCCACCGCCUCUCAGCACGACAUAGAGCAGUCGAUCGAAGCCCUCGACAUGCUGAUGCUGGAUCUGGACCCACACACAGGACAGGUGCCCAAGUCCUACAGCGCCCCCUCUGGUGAGAACAGUGUAGGAGGGCCAGCCCAGAUCCCCUUCUCCCAAUCUCUGGCCAGGCCGUCCUACCAGGCGGACUCAGCCAUCCACGGCUAUAACAUUAACUACAAUGCCUUCGGACAGCCUCUGAGGUCGAUGGCUGGCCGGGUUUCAACAUCGCCCGUCCAGAGUCCUGUGGCUGAGUCUCCCCUGUCGUACCCCCCCCCGAGGUCCGCCUCGUACCAGCCCCACACCAACACCACUCCCAUACACCCCCCCGAGCCCUACCACACGCGCCCAGCCCAGGGGCCUGGUUCCCCCCUCUACCCCUCUGACUUCGGACAGCUCCAGAUGAAGCCCCUGAACUCGUACCCAGUUAUCGUUCUUCCUAAAUACAUUCCUGAAACUGAAGGAAAGCCUUUGGGGAUUCCUGACGCUGUUGUUGGCGUUCCAGGGAUGCGUUCCCGUGGGAUGAUGCCGGAGGAGGCUCAGGAGACCGUCCGCCGUCGGACCACUAGCGAGGGGCACUACCAGAGUUUCAAUGAGGACCCUCCAGCCCACACGGGGGCGCCGGUGCGCUCCCCUGUCCACUCGUCAGACUUCCACAUCCUCAACCCUGGAGGAAGACCCAGAGAGGUACAGUACAUACCCCUAUCCACCCGUUCUCCUCCAGGCUUGGCCAAAACCCCUCUCUCUGCUUUAGGACUGAAGCCCCACCAUCCAGCAGACAUUCUCCAUGGAGGAUCAGGUCAGAACACACACACGCACGCACGAUGUUUCUUUUCUUUUUUUACCGUUUUGGGAAUGACCUCACCAGGUUUCAUUUCUGUCGGCCCCCCUCAUAACAGCAUCCCUUUGACUUCCUGUUUAAACCGAGGGGAAACUCUUGAAUUAAGAGGAAUAAAGAUAGUCCUAGGUUACAGCUCAGUGUUUCUCUCUCUCUGCAGCAUGAGGAUGACUUCCUCCAUUCGGCUCCAGGCUGACUCCGGCUUCCACUCCCACCCCUUGGAGAGCGCCCAGCACACCCCCGUUCCGUCCUACGGCCCCCACUCCCCUGAGGGAUCCCAGGUCAGCGUCGUGGGCCCCCUCCACACCGUCCCCGGAAGCCCCAACACACUCCACCGCACGGUGGCCACCAACACCCCACCAAGCCCCGCCCUCCAGUGCCGCCUGGCCAACCAGGCCAGCCCGGGUCUGGCUCGUCACCCCACACCGCCCAAUGGUAACAGGGUGCAAGUCCCCGGCAGCCCUGUGAUCCCCGCAAGAGGCUCCAGAACCGCCGCCGUCCCUGCUAGCCCUUUGAUGGGGCGCCACCCGAUGGCCAGUAGCCACACUACGCCCGAUGACAGACAGGGGGCACCACUCACGCCCUCCUUCCCAGUGUCACCCCAGUCCAAUGGGGGUCCAGACAUCAGGCUGAAUGUGAAGUUUGUCCAGGACACGUCUAAGUUGUGGUACAAGCCAGACAUCUCCAGAGAGCAGGCCAUCAGUCUGCUGAGAGACAGGGAGCCAGGGGCCUUCAUUAUCAGGGACAGUCACUCCUUCAGAGGGGCCUACGGCCUGGCCAUGAAGGUGGCCUGCCCACCUCCCACCGCCCAGGCCAAUAAGAAAGUUGGUGACAUCACGAGCGAGCUGGUGAGGCACUUCCUGAUUGAGACGAGCCCCAAAGGCGUGCGUCUGAAGGGCUGUCCCAACGAGCCCUACUUUGGAUGUCUGUCUGCCCUGGUGUACCAACACUCGAUGACUCCUCUGGCCCUGCCCUGCAAGCUGAUGAUCCCCAGCAAAGAUCCCAAUGAGGAGGCCCUGGAGCUGGACACUCCCACUGACACAGUGGCCGAGCUGGUGAAACAAGGAGCAGCAUGCAAUGUUCUUUACAUCAGCUCUGUGGACAUGGAGUCUCUGACCGGUCCUCAGGCCGUCGCCAAGGCAAUCAGCGAAACGGUGGCCGUCAACCCGUUGCCCGCGGCAACAACCGUCCACUUCAAAGUGUCGUCGCAGGGCAUCACCCUCACGGAUAGCCAGAGGAAGGUCUUCUUCCGAAGGCACUACCCAAUCAACACUGUCACCUACUGUGACAUUGACCCCCAGGACAGGAAGUGGAGCAAGGAAGGAGGUGGAACGGCGAAACUGUUUGGUUUCGUGGCACGUAAACAAGGGAGCACAACGGACAACGUCAGCCACCUGUUUGCCGAGUUGGACCCCGACCAGCCUGCUUCAGCCAUCGUCAACUUCGUCUCCAAAGUCAUGAAGCGAUGAAACCAACGAACCCCCGACAGCCAUUCUUUUUUAAUUAAAUUUUUUCUUCAUUUUUGAUUGUGUUUCAUUAUUUUCUUCUGUUCUUUUUGUUGAGAUAUGUUCUCUUUGUUUUCUUCUGCGAGAUUUUAUGUUUGAAGGACUUGGAGGUAAUCCAAGAUGGCGUCAGAGGAAGUUGUGGCUGGAGUGGUGACAGUGACAACGUGGCUCGAGCUGGUGGAGGAAGAUGCUUUCUUCCACAGGGUAACUGUGGAAGUCCAAGUGGAGAAGCUGUGUGCUAAACUAAGUAUCAGUGGGAGGAAAGGACACUGACAUGUAUCAGGUUUUCGGAUUGAUUUACCAAAGGUAGCACUCAGAACAAGUAUGUCAUUAUUAGAUGGUCAGUUUAAGGUGUUGUAGAUUUUCUCUUUUUUUUCUUUUUUUUUUACAAUGGGACUGUUGAAAUGAAACAGACAAAAACAAAAAGAAUGCUUUCUUCUUGAACUUUAUUCUGUCUUCAGAAAAAUAGUUUGCCUCAGUGGCUUCUUACUAAAGAAUAUUUAAGAAGACAUUUUGCAUGUUAGCUCGAUCUUUAAGCUUGGUCCACUAAAGUCAUUUGUGAACCCUCGAGUGGACAUUUCCCAGGCCUGUUGUAUGUUGUAAAGGGCUCAACAGCGAGAAAAAUAAACAGUUCUCAACUUCACA
rnacentral:lncRNA from 1 species